AGAUUCCAAGCUCCAUCGUCAAUAAGAUGAGAUCUCCUUCUUCUUCUUCUUCUUCUUCUUCAAGUUCCUCUUCACAAUUGUGGGGCUGUUUCUUUGUCACAAUCGGUUCAGUCUUCUUCGUGGGGUUUCUCUUCGCCGCCGUUAUAUCCAAGCUCCUCCCUCCAUCGCGUAACGCUCUAAUUUCCUCCAUUCAAAACGACUGGUAUUACUGCUUCUUAGUGCCCUUGACUCUUCCUGUCCUUGUGGUUGCUGUAUAUUUCCAUUGGAUCAGCAUGAAAUUGUUCAAGCACGCAUGACUUUGUCUUGAGCUCAUCACGUUGAUUUAUUGCCUUGACAAAAAGUAUAUAGCAGCUGAGGCUGCCUUGGCAUUUGGUAGUUGAAGAUCGUGGGGACCUACAAGUACAACCUUCCCAUUUGUAUUUACCCUUGGCAUAUAACCUAGCAUUUUGCCAAACAUUUGUAUUGAUAGCACAUUGCCUUAUUUGAAAAUGACCUGCUCGUUUUUUGUACUCACAAUUGUCAUGUAAUUUCCUUCCUACCCUAAUUCAGAAAGGCAAGACCUGCUUUUAGAUUGCCUUUCUAUAUUUUUUUCCCUGAGCCGUGUCCAAUGAUGUUGAAGUAACUGGAUCAUUAAAUUUUGGAUGGAAUUUCCACAUUUUGGGUCUCAGCGACAAUUACUGCAUAAGGAUAAUGGCUAGGAGGAGGAUUGAAAGGCAUUCUAGCAUUAAGCUUUCCAGGAUUUAGAGUUUGGUUGUUUUUGUCUCUGUACUGUAUACAAUUGUAAUUUAUUGGCUUUUCAAAUGGCGAUUGUGCAUUUGAACAAACCUUAUAUAAUCCAUGUUCAAAUUAGAUCGAAAUUAAACCGUAUUCCUUUUCAAUGCCAAUUUAAACUCUUCUCACUCAAACAUCUUUCCCCUUUCCCUUCCCUUUUCCUUCAGGCAUCAAACCACGUAGGUUUAAAAUUUGGAAUGGAGAAUAAACUGAAUAAAUUAUACUCAUACAUAUAACAAUAUGGUUUGAAGGAAGUUUAGUCAUUCUCUUCCUAUCAAGUUCAGACCUUCAUUUCUCUUGCUGCACGAACUUCAGAAAUAUUUUGUUGCAACCACGUAAACAAUGUUGCCAAACUCCAGGUGAUUUCUCAGCUACUCAAUGUAUUAUUAGAAGAGGAUUGGAGCAAUUCUUUCUUUAUGCAGUAUAAUCUACUGGCUUAUUUGAGUGGAAAUCAAGUUGUGGAAGAGAGCUAGUCUGUUGCAGAACUGUACCAUUGUACUUGAUUUGGAGCAUCUAAUUACU